AGAUAGAUAUACGAAGUUUCAAGAUACAACCGUUGGCCCAGCUGGCGCCCCGAGCACAACACAGCUCGGAGGGAAUUCCCUAUUG